ACGGGUCCUAUCCCCAUGUUGGCAGCUCUUCACUGCCUAUCGGUCCUGUCCCCAUGCUAUUCUCUGAAUAAAAGAGCACUAACACCAGACCUUGAGAGUCCAAGAAAUCUUUCUUUCGACUCCUCAGCUCGCCAAGCCUGCAUCACUUCUUCUGGUGGCCUGUAUGGGGAUCUUGCUUCACUGGCGUGUGAGCUGAAGUUCUGGACCAUGGGAACUUCUAAUUCCAUUCUGAAGAACUCACCUUUGAAUCGCCUUUUAAAUAACUGGGCAAAAUUUGAUCUACAAGAUCUAAAGGAAAAGAAACAUUUUUUACUGUAAUACUUUUUGGCCUCAACAUACUCUGAAUGAAGAAAAAUGGCCCAUGAAUGGCACUUUAAUUUUUUUUUUUUUAAAGAUUUUAUUUUUCCUUUUUCUCCCCAAAGGCCCCCGGUACAUAGCUGCAUAUUCUUCGUUGUGGGUCCUUCUAGUUGUGGCAUGUGGGACGCUGCCUCAGCGUGGUUUGAUGAGCAGUGCCAUGUCCGCGCCCAGGAUUCGAACCAACGAAACACUGGGCCGCUUGCAGCGGAGCGCGUGAACUUAACCACUCGGCCAUGGGGCCAGCCCCCAUGGCACCUUGAAUUUUAACACUAUUUCUCAACUAGACUUAUUUUACCACCGCCUGGAAAAAUGGUCUGAUAUCCCUUAUAUUCAAACAUUCAUGGCCCUAAGUCAAGAUUCUGAACUCAGAGCAGUUUGUUGCAUGUGUCUAGCUUCCCCCCCGCCCCGCUUCUGGGGUCCUUCUGCUUAUGGCAGGGCCAUCUGGGGUCCAAUAGGACCAUCUGGGUGCGCACUCAGAGUGGGAACAGUUGUAGGACUUUAUACCCUAAAUCUUGGAACUAGUUUGCUGGUGUACUGAGUUGGUUAUGAGGAUAGGAGACCUGUGAUUUAUUCUGUAAACUGUCCUGCCAGUGUUGUGUGCCCCAGCAUGAGAACUGUUGUGUGACACUUAUCUUGAUAACUCUUGGCAAGAGGCCAUGAGGGCAAGGCCUAAUCCCCACUUUUCCUUUCUUUGUAUUGUUCUUCACCUCCUCUGUUGUCAUCGAGUUGAGAUUAAGUUCAGGCUGGGCCUGAGCAGAACCCGGACCCUCUGUGAAAUCAAAAACUUGAAAACCUUUUGCCAGGGCCUUAACUCUCAACCCUGGAGCUGGGAGCCACAGCUCUCAGUCAGCUCCAGGCCUUUGCCUCCUGCUUCCCUGGCUCACCUUGUGCUGGCUCAGGAACUAAGUGCCCAGGCUGAGGGGGACUUGACUAAAUCUUAUAACUAUGUCAACACCAGCAGUUGGGCCCACUGUCAGUUGGACACCGGCUUUACCACUAUGGGGAACAGCCCAAGCAUCCCUGGAGACUCACCCCUCGGGUACAUUCUAACUAAUUGGAAACAGUUUCAAUUGGGUGGGUUAUGCCCCAGAAACUCCAUCUGGGGGAGUACUUGAGUGGUUUCUCUGUGCCUUUAUGAUGUAGUUGGACAGGAAGAUCAACCUAAAUGUCAUUUGAGUUACAACCCAGUUUCUGAGAAAUCAAGAGGAACUGUCCUUAGAAAAUCCUUGCAGGAUUGGAAAGCAGCUCUAGAGGCAGUUCAGAUUUCACCCAGUUCCUUUAUCUGAAAAAGGAUUAUCAUCUCUCCUCUGCAGGAAAUGUUAUCUAGCCCAUCACUAAUUCCUACGACUGAAUUAAAAAAAGGAAAAAGAAAAAAAAAAAUCCACAAGCAUGCCCUUGCCAAAAAAUCUAGUAUCUUAAAUGUCUUCUCCACAAAUAUUAGUAAAAAAGCUCAAAACAAAAUUUGGAUUCAUAACUGGUGAGCUUUAUAUUACUGUGCCUGAUUCGUGGCUGUAAUUUUUUAAAAAAUAGCUGUGGAGACCCUGUGUAUGUGUGUCUAUAUGUAUGUUUGAUAAGUAUUGUAUUUUCCCUCUGGAUGGUAUGGCCAAAAUUAAGAGGGCUGUUCAAUUGGAUUAAAGUGCUUACAUAAAUUCUAAUAUAAUAGAAAUUAACCCAUCUUUAAGUUAACAUGAUAAAGAUUAAUCUUUGGUAACUGAAAGUUUAUUUAAGUUUGAGUAAGUCUACCUAAAAGAUAGAAAAUCUAUGUUUGAUUAAAAUAAUUUCCUAUGUUCAGAAGGACUGAGGUCUCUCUAUUAAGAUUUUUUGACUGUGUUAACUGUUUGCUCCUGACUCUUUCUGUUGUCACUUUGAAUAGAUAACUGAGCGUUAUUUCCUAUUUGACCAAGUGUUUUAAAACCUUUUAAUAUUUUUGACAAGCUUCUCCCUCAAAAAAUAUUCAAAUCCUGAAUGAAGGCUUUCUUUUGAC
ensembl:lncRNA